rnacentral:rRNA from 1 species
AUUGAACGCUGGCGGCAUGCCUUACACAUGCAAGUCGAACGGCAGCACGGGUGCUUGCACCUGGUGGCGAGUGGCGAACGGGUGAGUAAUACAUCGGAACAUGUCCUGUAGUGGGGGAUAGCCCGGCGAAAGCCGGAUUAAUACCGCAUACGAUCUACGGAUGAAAGCGGGGGACCUUCGGGCCUCGCGCUACAGGGUUGGCCGAUGGCUGAUUAGCUAGUUGGUGGGGUAAAGGCCUACCAAGGCGACGACCAGUAGCUGGUCUGAGAGGACGACCAGCCACACUGGGACUGAGACACGGCCCAGACUCCUACGGGAGGCAGCAGUGGGGAAUUUUGGACAAUGGGCGAAAGCCUGAUCCAGCAAUGCCGCGUGUGUGAAGAAGGCCUUCGGGUUGUAAAGCACUUUUGUCCGGAAAGAAAUCCUUGGCUCUAAUACAGUCGGGGGAUGACGGUACCGGAAGAAUAAGCACCGGCUAACUACGUG